GCAUCGUCCGUUUCGGCAAGGGGAAGAAAGAAUGAUUAACGUCCUAGCAUUUAAUCGAAGAAUAAACCUGCGGGUGCUGAUGCAGAUUUCAGAAGGGAGUGUAUCCUCAAAGCUCUCAUCAUCUACCUGGGAGAACGUGUUGAGGACCUUAUAAAGGAAUACAUGGUCUCCCAGAAAGAUCAAGCCAAGCAGGAGCUGGAGAGGACCAUCAUGGCAGACUUCGUCUUCAGAGAGAAUUCAAGCCUUCUACAGCAGCCCCAAGACGUUGGGAUUGUCAUUGAUGGUGUGGAAGUCCUCCAUGAGUUGCCUUCUGUUGCAGCCGGAGUUGUAAUGCUCUUUGGACUUUGCUAUGCUCUUAUCAUGGAGUAUCCACAGGGUUUCAGGUUCACCUUUGAGGCCCUUCAGAAGAUCCUGAUGGAGCUUGGUUCCAACAAGAUGACUUCCAAGAUUCGCAAACUCAGUGGUGAACUCAAAACUGCACAGUGGUGUAUAUUUGUGUGUGCUUAAUGUGUGCAUGUAGUUGCCACUGGCUUCUAUUUAAGAGGUAGACCACCUC